rnacentral:rRNA from 1 species
CACGAACUUAGCCCGUGCUUCCUCCAGGGAUCGGUCAAGCUUGCGCCUUCCUCCCCCUCGACAGGAGUUUACAACCCGAAGGCCUUCGUCCUCCACGCGGCGUCGCUCGGUCAGGCUUGCGCCCAUUGCCGAAGAUUCUCGACUGCAGCCUCCCGUAGGAGUCUGGGCAGUGUCUCAGUCCCAGUGUGCCGGGCCACGCUCGCACGCCCGGUAGGCAUCGCAGGCUUGGUGGGCCGUCACCCCGCCAACCACCUAAUACCACAACGGCCCGUCCCGCGGCGAUAAAUCUUUGGUGACAUCCCGAUGCCGGGUCGUCACGUCGCUGGGAAUUACCCGAAGUUUCCCUCGGCUAUGCCCACCCGCGGGGUUGGUUACCGUCGCCUUACUCACCCUUGCGCCACUGGCCUUGCGGCCCGUCCGACUUGCAUGCCUAAUCCACGCCGCCAACGUUCAUUCUGAGCCAGGAUCAAACUCU